CAGUCGCCGCGGGAAUACGUAGGGUGCAAGCGUUAAUCGGAAUUACUGGGCGUAAAGCGUGCGCAGGCGGUUAUAUAAGACAGAUGUGAAAUCCCCGGGCUCAACCUGGGAACUGCAUUUGUGACUGUAUAGCUAGAGUACGGCAGAGGGGGAUGGAAUUCCGCGUGUAGCAGUGAAAUGCGUAGAUAUGCGGAGGAACACCGAUGGCGAAGGCAAUCCCCUGGGCCUGUACUGACGCUCAUGCACGAAAGCGUGGGGAGCAAACAGGAUUAGAUACCCCCGUAGUCCCUGUCUUUAUACA
rnacentral:rRNA from 1 species